GACGAACGCUGGCGGCGUGCUUAACACAUGCAAGUCGAACGAUGACGACCGAGCUUGCUCGGUCUGAUUAGUGGCGAACGGGUGAGUAACACGUGAGCAACCUGCCCUUCACUCUGGGAUAACCUCGGGAAAUCGGGGCUAAUAACGGAUAUGAGCUCCUGUCGCAUGGCGGGUGUUGGAAAGUUUUUCGAUGAAGGAUGGGCUCGCGGCCUAUCAGUUUGUUGGUGAGGUAGUGGCUCACCAAGGCGAUGACGGGUAGCCGGCCUGAGAGGGCGACCGGCCACACUGGGACUGAGACACGGCCCAGACUCCUACGGGAGGCAGCAGUGGGGAAUAUUGCACAAUGGGCGAAAGCCUGAUGCAGCGACGCCGCGUGAGGGAUGACGGCCUUCGGGUUGUAAACCUCUUUCAGCAGGGAAGAAGCGAAAGUGACGGUACCUGCAGAAGAAGCGCCGGCUAACUACGUG
rnacentral:rRNA from 1 species